rnacentral:rRNA from 1 species
CCUACGGGAGGCAGCAGUGAGGAAUAUUGGGCAAUGGGCGCAAGCCUGAACCAGCCAAGUCGCGUGAGUGAUGACGGUCCUAUGGAUUGUAAACCUCUUUUGUCGGGAAGCAAGGCCCGCCACGUGUGUAUGGACGGAUAGUCCCCACAUAAACAGCAUCGGCUAACUCCGUACCAGCAGCCGCGGUAGUACUGAGGAUGCGAGCUUUAUCCGGAUUGAUUGGGUUAAAAGGGUGCGUAGGGGGAAGGUUUAGUCAGCGUGAAAAUGUCGGUGCUAAAGACCGGGCUGCCGUUGAAACUGGUGUUCUUGAGUGAGAGAGAAGUAGGUGGAAUGCGGGGUGUAGCGGUGAAAUGCACAGAGAUAACGAAGAACUCCGAUGGCGAAGGCAGCAUACCGGAGUGUAACUGACGCUGAGGUACGAAAGCGUGGGGAUCGAACAGGAUUAGAUACCCUUGUAGUC